GAUGAAGAACGUAGUGAAAUGCGAUAAGUAAUGUGAAUUGCAGAAUUCAGUGAAUCAUCGAAUCUUUGAACGCACAUUGCGCCCGCCAGUAUUCUGGCGGGCAUGCCUGUUCGAGCGUCAUUUCAACCAUCAAGCCCCCGGCUUGUGUUGGGGACCUGCGGCUGCCGCAGGCCCUGACAACCAGUGGCGGGCUCGCUAGUCACUCCGAGCGUAGUAAUACAUCUCGCUCAGGGCGUGCUGCGGGUUCCGGCCGUUAAAAAGCCUUAUUUACCCAAGGUUGACCUCGGAUCAGGUAGGAAGACCCGCUGAACUUAAGCAUAUCAAUAAGCGGAGGA
rnacentral:misc_RNA from 1 species